GAGUCAGGGGUAUUUUGUUACCUGACUCAAAUGAGUCCGAGUCAGGGGUUAUGUCUGAGUCAUAGGUCGAGUCAGAUCUGAUUCAAAAUGGAAAACAAACGGUCUGACUGAUUGCAAACAAACAAGUUCUUAGUUAACUCUUAAAGCUUGAAUAAAUGGUUUUCUGAAGACUAAAAAUGUUUCUACAGACAUCCAAAUUUUAUUUUUCCAUCCUAAUCAAGUCUUAUACUGUUCUUUUAAACUAGCCGUUGUCUGUUUGCUAAAAUUACCCAAUGAACUGCAUCUUCGAAAUGCGGCUCGAGUUCUAAACAGAUUUAUUUUGGUUUCCUGAUUUAUAUCUAAAUUCGAUGUUGGUCGGCGGUAAAUGAUCUACGACUAAAAAUGUUAGUUAUAAUCGUAGCCUUUUUAAAUUUCCAUCUUAGAAAUGCCACUUUGUUUAUAAUGGUGCAUGUACCCAAGGAUACAAUGGCUUUGACAUUAAAUUUCAUAAUUGUUUUAUACGUUUUAUCCUUGCAUUUAGUAAGCAGCUGACCAACCCUUGUCAUGUUGCGUUUUAUUUUAUAAGAAAACUUAACUAUAUGUCUAUAGUUGAUCCAUUGAUUUUCCAAAUUGGGUCUCGUCUUUCUGCUCAUUUGGUACUCUUUUCCAACUAACUGAUCACUAGUGGUUUUCCUAUUUUGUACCCACUCAUACUAGAUGUUUUGCUUAUUUCUACUUUUCCCUAUGAAAGGUUAAUUUUUAUUAAGUUCUGAAAUGUGAAAUUGUUUUUAUAUUUGAGGACUUACAGUGAGUGCUUACCUAUGACAUAAUUACUCAACGUUUUCAGUAUUUUGAAUUGUUUUCAUUGACCAUGGAUUCUAUAUCGUGUUUCGUGGUAAGUGAUUCUUACUCUCAUACAGUUUUUGUGUUCAGUAAAAUCCGAUUUACUAAUCAUGUGAUUGCUGCCAAUGCAUUUGCGCAAGAUGUAGUUAAGAAUUUGUGAGAUUUCCAUAACAUUGUGCUUCGUGGAUGUUUUCUUUGUGACAACGUAUUUGGAAACUAGAUGACUCUACUUUUGGAAACUAGAUGACUCUACUUUAGGAACGUCAGGCCUAAAUGGCACCCCACCACCUCGGUGGCAACCCGGAAGAUCGUUGCGGCAACGAUGGCUGGUAACCAGAACUACCCUGGCGGUGGUACUGGCCAUGAAUAGUAGAGCAAUAUUAUUUAUGGUUCUGAAUCUUUAAACGGUAUUUGCAGUACGGAGAGAAGUUGCGGUAGUAAGCCGGGCAGAGCUUACGUAAGGCUUUAUCGCUUGGAAAGUUAGUAUUUUCUAAGCUUAUGAUAUUGUAUAUCACGGGGGUAUCUGGCUAGUUUCAGUUCUCUUGAUUUGAUCCCAUGUCAUUUCUAUUGCACUUUGAUGUUAUAUAUAUGUUGGCUUCUACCGGAUCUUUAUAUGUUUUAAAUUGAAAACUUGUCAGUUUCGUGUAUAAUGGGUCUGGUCUCGGGCUAUACAGACUAGUUUCUGAAUUCAUUUUGUUGCCUAGAUGUUCUUGGCUUUUGGCUUUACGGACUACAUUCUUUACCAUUGUUCUUUUUGGCAUUUGUUUAAUCUAAGAUAGGAUCUGUACAGUGAAUUUCUAAGUGUAAUUAAUAGCUACUUAUAUUCA